AGGCUCCAGGCUCUGAGCCAUCAGCCCAGAGCCCCACGCAGGGCUCGAACUCACGGACCGCGAGAUCGUGACCUGAGCCGAAGUCGGACGCUUAACCGACUGAGCCACCCAGGUGCCCCUGGAGGGCUCUUUAUUUCUUAUUAGCCAAUCUCCGAUUACUCCACCCCUCGUUAGAGUCAUUAAUUCUUUAUAUUAUACUUUCCCCAUACAGAUUCAGCAUGGUAGCUCCUGACUGAUCCACUCACUCUGGCUCUGGAGGAGUCGAUCUCUCCCGGACGCACACAUUUUGAAUUGUGAUGAAGUCCAAUUUAUCAAGUUUUCUUGCUGAGAUUUUGAUGCGAGUUGCAUUAAAACUGUAUAUCAAUUUGGGGAUAACCGACUUAACUCUGCUAAAUCUUCCCAUUCAUGAAAAAGAGAUGUCUCUCCAUUUAUUUAAAUCUGCCUUCGUUUCCCUCAUCAGUAUUUUUUAGUUUUCCGCACGGAAAUCCAUACGUUUUGUUAGAUUGACAUCUAAAUAUUUCAUGUUUAUGGACUGUAAAUGUAAAUUAAAAAUAAAUUUGGUUUGGAUUGUUCGAUGAGAGUCCACAGGAGUACAGCUGAUUAAAAUAUUGGUUCCCGUGAUUCUGGAGGCAGACGGGUCUGAUAUAUACAUCCCGUUGGUUCUGUUUCUCGCGAGAACCCCGGCUCACACAAGCACCCCCAUUACCACAACCACUUUUCCACCUUGCCUGCUUCGGUUUGGGAAAUAGUCUCGUAACCCACCAAGCCUCGCCAGUGAAGAGGAGACCAGGGAUCUUUUCCGGGGACAGUCUCUUAGGCCUGUGGCAGAGGCAAAGAUAACGUGAAGAGGAAGCUAUUGGAGGGGUCAGGGUCAAGGUACUGGCCUCUGAAUUUCCCUUGUCGGUUACCAUCUCGAGACUGAAGGUUAAGGCUGCUGACCCAUAUCAAGAAGGUAGUGAGCUACAAGACACUUUGGGCACAUUGGCCCUCACUUUGUUCCCGGGGUGUCCCAGGACAAGGUCGUUUUUGCCUCAGCGUCUCCAUGAAUCAGACUUCUUGGCUGCAAGUGGAAGAAACUGAUCCUUGUCGGCUUAAGCGAAGGGGAUGGGGUAGAAAUUAAGGGCAACCUGGAGAAGAUAGUAAGACACGGAGCAGACAUCGGGAAAUACGGGAUUCGACGAGUCUUCAGAGGGUCAAGAAGUAGGCAGCCCGAGACAGCACGGCAGAUUGUGUCUUUCCAGAAAUAUCUAUGGCGAUAUUUUCAGUCCGCCAAGCUCUUCCAGAAUCUUUGCACCUUUUUUUUUUUUUUUUUUUUUUAAAUCAUGAGCUGGGUCUUUUUUCUCUUGAAACUUGGAGGAACUCUGUAAGUGCCUUGACGAACAGGAUGUGGCAGAAGUGGCACUGGAUGACCUCUAACCCCAAGGCAUAAGGGCAAUAUGGCUUCCGUCUGACUCUCUUGAGUUGCUUGCCCUUCUACUGUGUUGUGAGGAAACCCGGGCCACGUGGAGAAGCUGUAGGUGGGCGUCCUGGCUGACAGCCCAGCGUGGUGCUUGGCCAACAGCCAGCAUCCACGGCCAGAAACGUGAGUGGAUAAGCCUUCAGACAUCCCCGGCCCAGCCUUUGAGCUGUCUCUGCUCCCCUAAGUCAAGCAGAGAUGAGCUAUCCCUACGCAGCCCUGACCAGACUGCAGUUUCAUCAGCAAAACAACGGUCGUCAUGAUUUUAAGCCUUAAGUUACGGGCUGGUUUGUUACACAGCAGUUGAUAACUGGAACAUGCGGCCACUAUGUCAGAGCAGAAAUUACCUGGCUGGGACACAGCCCAGGACCCCGAGGACCCCUCCACCCCUGUGAGACCGUCUGAACAUUUAUUCCCUCCAUCCUGAUCUCAGGAGAGAGCCCGUGCCCGCGUGAGUGAAGGUGCCCAGCCCUGGCUGCGCCGUGAGGCAGGUUGAAGAUAGAAUAAUAGUGUCUCCUUCACUGAGUUGUUAUGAAGUUUAAAUAAAUUCAUAUGCAUCAAGCCCCCGAAACAGUUCCUGGCCUGUAGUAAGAACACGGAUUCGAUUUUUAAUCAUUAGUUUUGUUACUAUUAAAAUGUGAGCUUGGAUAUCA